GAAGCUGGCUAGUCACCCUGCUCAGUGCUCAGGAGCCCAGUGAGCCGGUUGUCCAGUCCCAGCUGUGAAGCCUUCAGUCCUGUCCCCAGUGACCCACAUCACUGAUGAGAUUUGGAUCCACACAGGUGUGUCACCCUCAGACAGAGGCAGGAAGUGAUUCUCGAAGAAGAGCCUUCUUCCGGUGGCCUUUGAAGCUCUGACUUCUUCACUCUUCCUUCUGAAGCUACGUGGGACUCUGCCCCGUCAGAGUUCGCUACUAGCAUAGCAGUGAGGUUUUGGUCUGUUGGGAGCUUAGCCACACUAGAAAGAGGACUCAAGAGUUCUUUGGAUUCCAAAGGAAGAAAGGCCAACUGGAUGACACAAGAAUGUGUACACAUAAAUCUUAGAUCCUGGAGAAGAGGUGUCACUCCAGGGUCUCCUAACACUCCACUGUCCCAUCACCAUGCCUGUGUGUAAAGAGCCUGGUCCAUGGUACCCUGCUCAUGUUCUACAAUAAAGGAAUAAAGUCUUUUACUGAAGCAUGGGGUGUAUCCAUUCACCACAUAAAGUUUGAUGAAGAGAAAGAGAAGCAUCUGGUCAGCUUAUUGGGAUAUUUUACAAUGGAAGCACUUUGAAAUCUCACACUAAACAUUUGUUAACAGAAAAAGAUCUUUUCAGGGCUUUUGUAAAAAAAUAAAAAAAUUAACAUCUUCCUGUUGGAUCUAGUUCCCAAUUCAAGGUAGAAUAAAAAUCUAAUCUGGUCUUUUCCCUCAAUUUGUUAGACAUGCUACUUAGGUACAUCAUUUUCUCAAUUGCUUUUAAAAUAAAUUACAUUUGAUGUGUUCCUCUCUUGGUCACUGCCACUCAAAUCCAUUACAUUUCAAUAAACCUAACUGAACAGAAAGAAUAGAGGGAAAUUUGGAGAGAUGGCUCUGCAGUUAAGAGCACAGACAGCUCCAGCAGAAGACCCAGGUUUGCUUCCCAGGACCCAUGCAUGACUCACAGCUGCCAGUAACUUCAGUUCCCAGGGGAUCUAGUGCCCUCUUUUGGCAUCCGUGGGCAUUGCACACACAUGGUGGACUUAGGAAUGUGCAGGCAAAACACACAUAUACAUAAAAU